GCUUAGCCCUAAACAUAGACAACAUUAAUACAAUGCUGUCCGCCAGAGAACUACAAGCGAAAAGCUCAAAACUCCAAGGACUUGGCGGUGCUUCAAACCAACCUAGAGGAGCCUGUCCUAUAAUCGAUACCCCACGUUUUACCUUACCGCCCCUAGCCAAUUCAGCCUAUAUACCGCCGUCGCCAGCCUACCUUAUGAAAGCAAUAAAGUAAGCAAAAAAGUUAUUAACUAACACGUCAGGUCAAGGUGUAGCAAACGGGGCGGCAGAGAUGGGCUACAUUUUUUCAAAGAAAAAACACGAACAGAUUGUUGAAAAACACCCUUAAAGGUGGAUUUAGUAGUAAAAUAUAAAAGAAAACAUAUCUUAAACCUGCUCUGAAGCGCGCACACACCGCCCG
rnacentral:rRNA from 1 species